ensembl:snoRNA SNORD34 Small nucleolar RNA SNORD34
GUUGUCUGUGAUGAACCUAUACAUUUAUCUACCUUGUUUGAACAACAGUGAAAAGAAACAAAGCUGAGACAAAC